rnacentral:rRNA from 1 species
UUGGAGGGCAAGUCUGGUGCCAGCAGCCGCGGUAAUUCCAGCUCCAAUAGCGUAUAUUAAAGUUGUUGCAGUUAAAAAGCUCGUAGUUGAAUUUCGGGAUCAAUAUGCCGGUCAUGCCUUGGUAUGCACUGGUAUCUUUGAUUUCUCCCUUCUGACGAACUUUGAUGUCAUUAAUUUGGUGUCAUAGGGAAUCAGGACUGUUACUUUGAAAAAAUUAGAGUGUUUAAAGCAGGCUCACGCUUGAAUACGUUAGCAUGGAAUAAUGAAAUAGGACGUUUGAUUCUAUUUUGUUGGUUUCUAGGAUCGACGUAAUGAUUAAUAGGGAUAGUUGGGGGCAUUAGUAUUCAAUUGUCAGAGGUGAAAUUCUUGGAUUAUUGAAGACUAACUACUGCGAAAGCAUUUGCCAAGGAUGUUUUCAUUAAUCAAGAACGAAAGUUAGGGGAUCGAGGACGAUCAGAUACCGUCGUAGUCUUAACCAUAAACUAUGCCGACUAGGGAUCGGAUGAUGUUAAUUUUUUAAUGACUCAUUCGGCGCCUUACGGGAAAC